rnacentral:rRNA from 1 species
UGGUGGGUAGUUUGACUGGGGCGGUCUCCUCCUAAAGAGUAACGGAGGAGCACGAAGGUUGGCUAAUCCUGGUCGGACAUCAGGAGGUUAGUGCAAUGGCAUAAGCCAGCUUGACUGCGAGCGUGACGGCGCGAGCAGGUGCGAAAGCAGGUCAUAGUGAUCCGGUGGUUCUGAAUGGAAGGGCCAUCGCUCAACGGAUAAAAGGUACUCCGGGGAUAACAGGCUGAUACCGCCCAAGAGUUCAUAUCGACGGCGGUGUUUGGCACCUCGAUGUCGGCUCAUCACAUCCUGGGGCUGAAGUAGGUCCCAAGGGUAUGGCUGUUCGCCAUUUAAAGUGGUACGCGAGCUGGGUUUAGAACGUCGUGAGACAGUUCGGUCCCUAUCUGCCGUGGGCGCUGGAGAACUGAGGGGGGCUGCUCCUAGUACGAGAGGACCGGAGUGGACGCAUCACUGGUGUUCGGGUUGUCAUGCCAAUGGCACUGCCCGGUAGCUAAAUGCGGAAGAGAUAAGUGCUGAAAGCAUCUAAGCACGAAACUUGCCCCGAGAUGAGUUCUCCCUGAGACUUAAAGUCUCCUGAAGGAACGUUGAAGACGACGACGUUGAUAGGCCGGGUGUGUAAGCGCAGCGAUGCGUUGAGCUAACCGGUACUAAUGAA